CAUCAGUUGAUAUAAAAUACUACUUAGUUUAGUAUCAUUUUGUACAAGUCUUGUCCAGAAUGAUACCAUUCUAAGUUUAACUUUAAUUUCGAGGGGAAAUCUCCCAAGCUCACCUAAAACCAUAAAAUUUGGCGUAGUGUUCCUUACUUUGAGUACUCUUUUACAAAACUUCAAAUGGAUUUGCUCAAUAGUUUUGAGGUUUUCGUAUCCCCAGAUUUCUGAACCAUACAAUAAAAUUGGUUCUAUCAUCGAGUCAAAUAGCUUUAAUUGGAUAUCAACAGGUAUAGACUCAUUUCUGAUAAGUUUAUAAACAC
rnacentral:lncRNA from 1 species